GACGAACGCUGGCGGCGUGCCUAAUACAUGCAAGUCGAGCGGACGAAUCGAAAGCUUGCCUUUGAUUCGUUAGCGGCGGACGGGUGAGUAACACGUGGGCAACCUGCCCUGUAGACGGGGAUAACACCGAGAAAUCGGUGCUAAUACCGGAUAACACGAAAUGUCGCAUGACGUUUCGUUGAAAGACGGCGCAAGCUGCCGCUACAGGAUGGGCCCGCGGCGCAUUAGCUAGUUGGUGAGGUAACGGCUCACCAAGGCGACGAUACGUAGCCGACCUGAGAGGGUGAUCGGCCACACUGGGACUGAGACACGGCCCAGACUCCUACGGGAGGCAGCAGUAGGGAAUCUUCCGCAAUGGACGAAAGUCUGACGGAGCAACGCCGCGUGAGCGAAGAAGGCCUUCGGGUCGUAAAGCUCUGUUGUUAGGGAAGAACAAGUAACGCAGUAACUGGCGUUACCGUGACGGUACCUAACGAGAAAGCCACGGCUAACUACGUG
rnacentral:rRNA from 1 species